rfam:Vibrio parahaemolyticus RIMD 2210633 DNA, chromosome 1, complete sequence.
UCAACCAAAAGUGCAGGAUUCAAUGUAUCCAAGCCUUCGGCUUGUAAGAGUAAGCCAUGCAAGGAAAGAUCUUGAAUCGUAGCGUUAAGUCUCAAAUCACGUUGUUCUAACUGAGCUGGAGCUUGGUAGAUGAUGCGUGAAAAGCGUCUUUUCUCCGUCAUAUUGCGCUCUCUAAGGCAUUUAAACAGAUUGAAUAGUAUAUCAAGAAGAACAAAAAGUGUUCGAAUGUUGUUUAAAAACUGUCGAGAACGCUACAGAGUUACGUAAGUGCACGGUCAUGUUUUUCACUGACCCAAUGACUCUCAAA